CUACAGGACAUUAACAUAACCAAUUUGCUUGAACUCCUCACUGGCUGCUUAAUAGAGCAUCUGACCAGCUGAUAAGACCUGGGUGCUGCUGCCUAUGAUACCUUGUUAUUAGCAUUUUCAUAAUAUUCGGAUAUUACAGCCCCAUGAUUCACUAGCCUCCAUUUAUUAUUGAUAAGUACAAAAAAUAAAUAAAAAGGGUUUAUAAAUAGCAAAGGGGGGUGAGCGACCUAUAAUUAUGGCAAGCAAAUUAGGGUGCACAGUAGAGUCAGUUACAUUUGCCUAGGAGUAAUGAUGCUCAAGAACUUUUUCUCUCCAGGGACUGGAAAAAUAAUCGAUUCCUCAGCAGCUGCAGAUGGGCCAGGAAAGGCUCUCGCCCGGGACACUGUUUACAUUCUCCCAACAUCAUUAUGGUCUACUAUUAUUAGCAAGCAUCAUGUAUUCUUAUAGGAAUAUAAAGUCCUUGAGAACUUUCCUGCAUUGUACCAAAAAAAUGAAGAGAUGGUAAUUAUCAGAAAAAUCUCCCAAGUAGCCAUCCUCACCAGCCAGCACCUGGAGCUGUGACCACUUUGAUAUAUCCAGCAAAAAACCCAAACUCAAACUCAUCCUAAAGCUCUGAGCUUUGCUAAAGUUUGAAAGCAGAGGUAAGCUCUGCAAUGCCUCCUGCUUCUGUAACGAACAGAAGAAGAAUCUGUUUCACCAAAACACCACAAAUCCUGUGGAAGUUCAGGCCCAGGUCUGAGCUGCGUCUCUGAAGCUUGUCUUCAACACAUGCCUCCAUCUCACAGGAGGAUCCUCCGGCAUCCAGUAGACUCUGCUCUGGCUCAAACCUCAUGUUAACAUCAUCAAGGAGAAAUACAAAUCUAAACUGACAGAGACUUGCUUGUCGCUUCCUUUGUGUCCAAACACAGAUGGUUGCUUUUGUCGUGCCAUCACAUUUCAGCCAAUAUAAGCAGCAAAGUGCAUAACUGGAACAUAUAAUUCUCUUCUCUUCCAAGCCCCCACAAGUUUUUUGCAGCUGAAGUAUCAUUCUUAAGAAUAAAUACAGUGUUUUCAUGCAUCUUGAUCUAAUCCAUUAGCGCUUAUAAUUUAUUGUUAACUGCUUGGAUGUAGAAGCCAUGACAGCUUUGAGUAAAGCAUUUAAGCAGACACCUGCUUUGUAUAAAUUAUACUAACCUUGGUCAGGUUAGUGACUCUUCAGAGAGAGACAAAUGUCUCUUACCAACAUCUGUAGCUCUUGGGAUAGUGGUUUUAUUACACUCUAAGAGGCUUUGGAUCUUGGAAACAGUAAUGGAGCAAAUCUAUGAACUACCUGCUGACUUGUUAUUUCCAUUUGUAUUUGGUAUUGUGCUAAUGGCUUCAAGGCAGGAGGAAUGGGAUUUGACAUGGGGGGAGUAGGAGCUGGAAAACACUUUGCUGGUCUCAAAUCACUUCCUUGGAGGCUAAAGCCCUCAUUAACUAUAACUUGAGUGGAUUGUCUUAAUCUGAUUGCUGUAGUAUUUUAUGUCUAGUCAUUUAGGCUUAUUUCUAUAAAUACUUAGAUAAGCUUCUAUCAAUUACUCCACUGUCCCCCUGUCUCCUACCAUUGGAAAUGGCAUGGUGUCAUGAUAUAAGUGUAAUUAUAUGAUACUUUCCACAUACAGAAAAAGGAAGAUGUGUGUUAACGUGAAAGAAAGGCAUUGCCUGGGAAGAUGGUUUCUUAUAUGGGAAUGAGGAUAUUGCAUCGUCUUGUUCAGUGUCUCUCAGAGAGGAAACCUUAGGACCAGGAGAAAAGGCGCAGCGAUGUUAUUCUGAACGCUGGACGUCCCGAAAGGCCUUUCUCCCCUCUAUUGAGCACCCAUUCUGACGAUGAGAUGUCUGAAAAGACUGCGGGACUUUUGCUGGUGAUAGGUGGUUGACCAAAGGUCUGAUGUGCAUUCACUCCUGUUUCUUUUUUGCUUGUGCUGUUUAGAUUAAUUUGACUCACUUGCGAAGCUUUACGCACUGCACAUUUCCCGACUAAAAAAGAAAAAGACUGACAGAGCAAACUAAUUGAAACACGGUAUUCUGCAUCUCACUUCAGCACCCUCGUUCCACGCUGGAGCCACAGGGUUCAAAGUUAAUAGAGUGCCGUGUCAGGGAUGCCACUCAGAGGGGCGAAAUGCAAUGCAAUGGUGGACAAGCCUGAAGAUUCAACCUGACUUCUUCAGCAUCUUUUCUGAGAAAACAAAUGCUGAACUGGUGCUAAGAGGGAGGAUGGCCAUUGCAAUGGUGUGCACGUCAGCUUGCGCUGGUCAGAGUGGAAGCAAGCCUUUAGACCUUGCCGCAUCUGGAAGGAAGCAGAUUUCAGAGUGAAGAUACAUCCCAUCACUGAG